rnacentral:rRNA from 1 species
GACGAACGCUGGCGGCGUGCUUAACACAUGCAAGUCGAACGGUGAUCUUGAGAGCUUGCUCUUGGGUGAUCGGUGGCGAACGGGUGAGUAACACGUGAGUAACCUGCCCCUGACUCUGGAAUAACUUCGGGAAACCGAAGCUAAUACCGGAUAUGACACAGAAUCGCAUGGUUUCUGUGUGGAAAGUUUUUUCGGUUGGGGAUGGACUCGCGGCCUAUCAGCUUGUUGGUGAGGUAAUGGCUCACCAAGGCGACGACGGGUAGUCGGCCUGAGAGGGCGAGCGGCCACACUGGGACUGAGACACGGCCCAGACUCCUACGGGAGGCAGCAGUGGGGAAUAUUGCACAAUGGGCGAAAGCCUGAUGCAGCGACGCCGCGUGAGGGAUGAAGGCCUUCGGGUUGUAAACCUCUUUCAGUAGGGAAGAAGCGCAAGUGACGGUACCUACAGAAGAAGCACCGGCUAACUACGUGCCAGCCGCCGCAGUAACAC